rnacentral:rRNA from 1 species
GACGAACGUUGGCGGCGUGCUUAAUACAUGCAAGUCAACUGAAGCAGUGGUAGCAAUCUCGCUUUGUAGGUGGCGCACGGGUGAGUAACACGUAGAUAAUCUGCCUUCAGGUCUAGCACCACUCCUCGCAACCGCGGCUGAUAGCAGAUGAUGAAGCGGCCCGCCAUCGAGACAGUUGUUAAAGCUAUCUCGCCUGGAGAUGAGCCUGCGUCUGAUUAGCUAGUUGGCGGGGUAACGGCCCACCAAGGCAACGAUCAGUAGCUGGUCUGAGAGGAUGAUCAGCCACAAUGGAACUGAGACGCGGACCAGAGUCCUGCAGGGGGAAGAAGUAAGGAAUAUUGUUCCAGGGGAGAAACCAUCAAGCAACAACGCCGCGUGAGCGGCCAAGCUCUUUUGAUUGUAAAACCCUGCAGCGAGAGAAAUAUACCUCAAUCUUCCCGACAUGACGGUACCCCAAAAGUAAGCCCCGGCUAACUACGUG